AUAUAGAAAGUCGUACCUGCUCAGUGGAGAACAAAUAACUCUAAACAGCCGCAGUACCCUGACUGUGCAAAGGUAGCAUAAUAAAUUGCCUUUUAAUUAAAGGCUCGAAUGAAUGGUGUGACGAGAGCUUAGCUGUCUCUUUUACAUUAAAUAAAAAUUAACUUUUAGGUGCAGAGGCCUAGAUAAUAUUGAAAGACGGAAAGACCCUGUUGAGCUUUACGUGUAAGUUUAAUUAUUAAUUAAAAAUAUCAUGUUUAGUUGGGGCAACAGAAGAACAUAACUACCUUCUUUUUAGGUAAAUAAAUUUAUAGAUUUAUUGAUCCACUAAAUUGUGAUCAAAAGAAAAGUUACCACAGGGAUAACAGCGUAAUCUUUUUAGAGAGCUCCUAUUGAAAAAAAGGUUUACGACCUCGAUGUUGGAUUAAGAGUGCUAUUAGGUGUAGAAGCUGAUAUAAGCUGGUCUGUUCGACC
rnacentral:rRNA from 1 species